rnacentral:misc_RNA from 1 species
GAGUUCGCGGGAGAGUAAGUUAUUGCCAGGGUUUUUAUUUUAUACUUUAAACAUUGAUUUUAUUUUUUAUGUUUUUAGAUGUUCAUGUUUUUGAAUGUUUUAUUCGAAUAAUAUAAAAAAUAAAAUAUAUAUGUACAUGGAUUAGACAAAGAUAUAUAUUAUUCUAUGUUGUAUAAACAAAUUGGCAAAAUAGAGAUGGAAGAUAAAAAUAUGGUCAAAGUAAUAAGAGUCUAUGGUGAAUGCC